GGCGCGGCAAAUCUAAAUAACGCUGGAACCGAUAAUGUUUCAGAAGAAAUUGCGGGUAGGAACGAAAUACCCGCACCAUACCAAGAUAGGUUCCCCCGGACACACAAAAAACCCUAAAUCUCACGUUCCAUGUCCCUUCUUACGCAGAAAGGGUCAUUGCCUGAAGGGUUUGAAAUGUGAUUUCUCCCACGCUAAACCACAACAGUCCUUUCAACCAUACCAACAACAAUUUUUUCCACCCCCGUUUUACGGACAAACUCCAUAUCAUUUUCAAAGUCACCUAAAUACUAUGAGACACCCUUUUUUUUAUCCCCAUGUAAACUACCCUUAUAUGCCUCCCCUGAUGGACAUCCCAACAAGACCACCCAGUCAUUAUUAAACGAAUCUGUUGACUUUCCAAAUAACUGUACACUGCCAUGUAAGC